rnacentral:lncRNA from 1 species
GCAGAACGCCCAGAAUAUGUUCUAUAAGUUAAGAUAGGCGACGAUGCCAAACACAUACAGGAACCAACUGUAUGUAACUUGUCUGUGUAAGCAGUAUAUAAGAGAUCUAACGGGACUGAGUUCACUUCAGACCGGUACUUUAUGCAUCUAAAGUUUGACUGUGACCUCUCCAGCUUGCUGUUAAUAAACAAUGAUUCAUUUAAGAUUGACUUUGAUUGUCCCAAGUGUAGAAUUUACACAACAAUUUGGCAUCAACGAACAGGAUGAUUGAUUCUGCCUGCGGUGCUUUCAAGUGACAGUCUGCGAGGAAAACCAGUGGCGCAUUUCAUGAAGCGUAAGGGAAAUUCCCAUCAGACCAAAAGAGGAAGAGGACCCGCUCAGACCAGACCCUUACUGUGAGCUGCCCAAGAGGAGACACAUCAUCCGCGAACAAUUGAGGGACAUGUCUUCCUAACUUCAGAGGCACCAAAGAAGUGCUGAAUGUGAAGAGACUAAUUCAACAAAAUAAAACAACAUCAAUUAACAACACUGCCACCAACCAAAACUUUGUGUCACUCACCCACAGUUGAUUGGGCAAUGCCAAGUAAGUCAGCAUUUCAGCAACAGCACCCAACAUCUGGUCUGUCCGUCCCUGGAUCUUCUGAAGAGCGUUCAUCCUUCCUUCAAUACCUCUCUUAUUCUACUUCCCCCUCUCGUUCUUCCUUUCCCCUCCUGAAAGUCCUCACUCUGUUUUUGCCCAUCUCUCUCCUCAUUCAUUCUCUCUUGUUUUCUCCUCCUCUCCUCCACAGUGUCACUAUUUCUCUCCUCCUCUCCUCCAGUCUGUCACUAUUUCUCUCCUCCUCUCCUCCACAGUGUCACUAUUUCUCUCCUCCUCUCCUCCACAGUGUCACUAUUUCUCUCCUCCUCUCCUCCAGUCUGUCACUAAUUCUCUCCUCCUCUCCUCCACAGUGUCACUAUUUCUCUCCUCCUCUCCUCCAGUCUGUCACUAUUUCUCUCCUCCUCUCCUCCACAGUGUCACUAUUUCUCUCCUCCUCUCCUCCAGUCUGUCACUAUUUCUCUCCUCCUCUCCUCCACAGUGUCACUAUUUCUCUCCUCCUGUCACGUCCUGACCAGUAAUAGGGGUUAUUUGUAUUAUUUGGUCAGGGCGUGGCAGAGGUAUUUUUGUUUUGUAUGGUGGUUUUUUUUUGUGUAUAGCUUAGAGGGGUGUGUUAUUUAUGUGUUCCGGGGUUUUGUGGUGUAUGUUUUAGUAUGAGUAGGUUCUAGGUUAAGUUUUCUAUGUGCAGAUUUGGUUGCUGGACUCUCAAUUGGAGGCAGGUGUUUCUAGUUGCCUCUGAUUGGGAGUCCUAUAAGUAGGUGUGUGUUUUGUUUGUCACUUGUGGGUAGUUGUAUGUUAGCACUGCUUUUGUUUAGCCUGCUACACUGUUCCUGUCGUGAGUUUUGUUUAUAGUUUUUUUUCCUCGUGUUCACAUUUAAAAUAAAUGAUGAUGAGCAUGCAAUCCGCUGCAUAUUGGUCCACUUUGUCCGACAGCGAUUUUAACAUCUUCUGACGAAGAGGAAUGUGACACAGAGGGUAUUUGUUUUAUGUGGUUCGGGGGAUAUGAGUAUUAUAGAGGGGUGUUUUAUUUAUGUAUUACGGGGUUUUGGUGUAUGUUCUGGGUUUUGUAUUCUAGGUUGGUUUUCUAGUUUGUUUAUUUCUGUGUGGCUCCCGAUCAGGAACAGCUGUACAUCGUUGUUCCUGAUUGGGAGUCAUAUAUUAGUUGCGUGUUUUCACCUGGGGAUUUGUGGGUAGUGUAUUUCGCACUGCUGUGAGUAUUAGCCUGUGAAACUGUUGGUCUGUCGUUCUUUGUUUUCUUUUUUUUUCUGUGUUCACAUUUAUUUAAUAAAAUAUAAUGAUGAACAUGCAACCCACUGCGCCUUGGUCCUCCCUCUCCUACGACAGCCGUUACAGAACUACCCACCAAAAAUGGACCAAGCAGCAGAGGAGGGAGCAACCGAUGGACUAUCGUGAGACAUGGGCAGAACUGAGGAUAAGCAUUUCCAGGGCUAUGGAGGAGUUAAGGGAGCCUGAGAGGCAGCCCCAAUAAUGUUUUGGGGGGGGGGCACACGGGUAGUUUGGCUGGGCGAGGAUUGAGCCCCAGGCCAAAUCCCCGUACCUUUUUUGGGCAACAUAUGACUGGACAGGUCCCGUGCUUUGGGGUGAUGGGUGCUGUGGCGAGGCCGGGUAUUUUCAGGCCGGUAUGCGCAGUACCAGCACCCCGCAUGUGCCAGGGGAAAGUGGGCAUCCAGCCAGUAGGGGUGAUGCCAGUCCUGCACUCGAGACCGCCAGUGCGCCUCUACGGUGUUGCGUGUUUCCCGCUACACACACUAGCCUUGAGGUCUCCAGGCUGGCACGUCCAGUACCAGCACCACGCAUCAAGCUUCCAGUGAGUCAGCCCAGUCCAACUCAGCCUGUCCCCGCUCCCCGCACUAGCCCGGAGGUGCGUGUCCCCAAACUGGCACUUCCAGCACCACGCAUCAGGCUUCCAGUGCGUCAGACCAGGUCCGAGUGUCCGGCAACAGUGCCUCGUCCAGAGUGUCCGGCAACAGUGCCUCGUCCGGAACCAGGUGAGACGGCCCGCGACCCGGAACCGAGUGAGCCUACCCGCGACCCGGAACCGAGUGAGGUUUACAAUAACUUUGAAUUGUGUUAGUCUGCCUACAACCCGGAACUGUGUGACUCUGCCUACGGUCCGGAGACAAGACUCUGCCUACAGUCUGGAGGACAGUAGGCCAGAACCUAAGCCACCUCCAGUAUAGGUGGGUUGGGGAGGGGGGGUGUAGCACAUGUGCUGUCGUUGACGGCAGCCACCCUCCCUUCCCUCCCUUUAGUUAGGGGUUUAUUUUGUUUUUUUGUUGAGGUGCACCGGGGUCUGCACCUUUAGGGGGGGGGCACUGUCACGUCCUGACCAGUAUAGGGGUUAUUUGUAUUUGUAGGUUGGUCAGGAUGUGGCAGAGGGUAUUUGUUUUAUGUGGUUCGGGGGUUAUGAGAAUUGUAGAGGGGUGUUUUAUUUAUGUAUUACGGGGUUUUGGUGUAUGUUCUGGGUUUUGUAUUCUAGGUUGGUUUUCUAGUUUGUUUAUUUCUGUUUGGUCUGUGUGGCUCCCGAUCAGGAACAGCUGUACGUCGUUGUUCCUGAUUGGGAGUCAUAUAUUAGUUGGGUGUUUUCACCUGGGGAUUUGUGGGUAGUGUAUUUCGCACUGCUGUGAGUAUUAGCCUGUGAAACUGUCGGUCUUUGUUCUUUUUUUUUCUGUGUUCA